rnacentral:tRNA from 2 species
GCCAAGUUGGCGCAGUAGGCAGCGCGUCAGUCUCAUAAUCUGAAGGUUGUGAGUUCGAGCCUCACACAUGGCA